rnacentral:rRNA from 1 species
UACGUAGGGUGCGAGCGUUAAUCGGAAUUACUGGGCGUAAAGCGUGCGCAGGCGGUUAUGCAAGACAGAUGUGAAAUCCCCGGGCUCAACCUGGGAACUGCAUUUGUGACUGCAUGGCUGGAGUGCGGCAGAGGGGGAUGGAAUUCCGGGUGUAGUGGUGGAAUACGUAGAUAUCCGGAGGAACACCAGCGGCGAAGGCGGCUUUCUGGUCCGAUUCUGACGCUGAGGCGCGAAAGCGUGGGGAGCGAUCCGG